UGCCUGGCGGCACUAGCGCGGUGGUCCCACCUGACCCCAUGCCGAACUCAGAAGUGAAACGCCGUAGCGCCGAUGGUAGUGUGGGGUCUCCCCAUGCGAGAGUAGGGAACUGCCAGGCAU
rnacentral:rRNA from 34 species